AUUGCUUCUUGGCCAUUUGGCUAAGAUCAAGCAUAGUAUCUGUUCUUAUCAGUUUAAUAUCUGAUAUAUCCUUUAUCAGAAGACAAUAUAUUAAAUGGAUUUUUGGAACUAGGAGAUGGAAUAGGAGCUUGCUCUGUCCACUUUACACAUUGGCCUGGUAUUGCAGUACUUCCAGGAGCAGUUCCAAAAAA